UAGAAAGUUCUACACACAGUAUAUCUCUGUUGGGCAACCUUUUCCAACUAGAAACUGAAGUUUGUAAACUCCUCACUCUCCUGCACCAAAGUCCAUCGAUACAAUCUGCAAUUCUAACUCACAGGGUUCCAUGGACUGCAGGUCUACUGCUGCUUUCUUUGCAACAACCUCAUUACUACACUCAUCAUAACUGUGACAUGGAUGGAACAUGAAGCGCAUGUGUUACGUCGUACAGCUCACACAUGGCAACUCCCUGUUUGAUUCAGUGUCUCUGACACAAAGAAGAGACUUCAGCUCUUUGUAUUUUUCCACCUCUGCUCUGGGACAUCAGUGUUUCUGAGCAGUCUACCGUGCCAUCACAAGGUGCUGGCUACAGGCUGCGGGUGGAAAAUACAGCACUGCACUUUCAGACACUUCAUGAAACAGGAUACUCACUGGAGUCUAUUUUUGGUGAGUAAUAAAACCAGCAAAAGGAGAUACACACACACACACACACACACACACAAACACUACAGAGUUAGCACCUGGACACCGAGACACAUUAACAAACAGUUCAUACCAUGAGCAACAGACACGGACUCAUUAAUAUGAACAAAUGUGUAAUAACACACAUAAUCAUGGUUUCUAGCUGGGAAAGCUAAAGGUGCAUUUUUAGACACUGUUUUAGAUUUUAUCUGGACUAUUUCUAUUUCACCUCAUGAGUAAAAUAAUUCAGCAAUCCAUUCUGGCUACUCGACCUGACUUCAUGCUGAGAUAAACUUUGUCGGAGAGGCUUUUCCAUAAUAUCCUUUUACCAUCAGUGAUUUUAAUGGAGGUUAAUUGCAUUUGCACAUAUUUUCCACUAUAACUCUAUAAGUGCAAGAUAAGAUUAGAUAUACUUUGACCCCAAGGAGAAACUUGACCUGAGCAGCGAGAGAGCAGAAUGACAUCAUUAUAACUCAGGAGACCUGCAGUGUGGUGUACACUGUGUUAGACCCGGCGUUUAAGUGAUACCUGGGGUGUUUUUGAAGUGUUGUUGUUGUUUGAAGGGACAGACGCACAGUCAGCGCUGCCGUCAUCAGGAAUCAGCCUGAGACAUGGACGCUUGUCAUCAGUGACGACAUGGCUGCCAGUGGAAACAUGAGGAGAAAUAGUCUUUAGCCUCUCAAAUAAAAACUCACCAAAUUAAUUCAAAGACUGCUUGUUCCAUUUAAGGGUCUGGAUCCCCAGUAAUGUGGCAGUAAUGUGAGGAUAUGGAGGAUUUUGCACGUGUGGAUGUAUAUAAGUUUUUGACCGUGCGUUUGUGCAUAUAAAACUGAAUAAGGAAGCAAGCAAGGGUCGUAAUUUGGACUGCAAUAUUCUGGUACUGGACCAGACCUUUGUUUUCUUGGUUUUUGUCUUCAAAUAAAUCGACGUAAACGUUUA